UACGGGGGGGGCAAGCGUUGUUCGGAAUUACUGGGCGUAAAGGGCUCGUAGGCGGCCAACUAAGUCAGACGUGAAAUCCCUCGGCUUAACCGGGGAACUGCAUCUGAUACUGGAUGGCUUGAGAUUGGGAGAGGGAUGCGGAAUUCCAGGUGUAGCGGUGAAAUGCGUAGAUAUCUGGAGGAACACCGGUGGCGAAGGCAGCCCCCUGGGCCAAUACUGACGCUCAUGCACGAAAGCGUGGGGAGCAAACAGG
rnacentral:rRNA from 1 species